ACGCUCAUUUCAGCAGCACAUAUACUGAAAUGGAACAAUACAGGGGAGAUGAGCAUGCCCUGUAAAAGGAUGACACACAAAUUCAUGAAGCAUUGAUGUAUCUU